rnacentral:rRNA from 1 species
UACGUAGGGGGCUAGCGUUGUCCGGAAUCAUUGGGCGUAAAGCGCGCGUAGGCGGCCAGAUAAGUCCGGUGUGAAAGUCACAGGCUCAACCUGUGAAUGCCGCUGGAAACUGUCUGGCUUGAGUCCGGAAGGGGCGAGUGGAAUUCCUGGUGUAGCGGUGAAAUGCGCAGAUAUCAGGAAGAACACCCGUGGCGAAGGCGGUUCUCUGGGACGGUACUGACGCUGAGACGCGAAAGCGUGGGGAGCGAACAGG